rnacentral:tRNA from 1 species
UAGAUAGAUGCCCGCUGGUUUGGGUGCUUAGCUGUUAACUAAGAGUUCGCAGGGUCGAAGCCUGCCUAUCUAG